rnacentral:tRNA from 1 species
GUCCAGGGGCGGGAAUCGAAUCCACAACCUUCUGCUUACCGGGCAGGUGCCAUGUCCACUAGGCUACCCUGGA